UAGAAUUAAAAACACAACGGCUGUGUGGUUAAUUUGCAGGAAGCAUUCUUCAGGAACAAAAAUACCCAACACGUGAUGCCAGAAAUGUGAACAGCAGUCGCACCUGAUGCUUUUUGCUUGUGUGUAGAUGGAUCUAACAUCCUCAGAGAGGCUUGCCACGGGAAUAUCCCACGACAUGGCCAUGGCCACACACCAAAUCAGUACCAAAACGGGCUCUGACAUCAAGGGCAUGCUGCUUCCCACCCCUCACAGACCCCUUGGGGCCGCAGCAGGCCCAAGUCCCUCAGGGCAGCUCAGGGUAAGGUGAGGGCACAGGAAUCGGCCCUUGGGUGCUCCCCAGGGACGGAGAAAAGGGUUGGGAACACCCAAAAACAGACCCUAGCACCAUGGGGAGAGCCAUCCUGCCAUCUCCUUAGGGCCUGACAAUACCGGGCGGGGAAGAAGGGACCCCACACACACACACUCAGUGCCUGACAGGAGAGGAACCGCCAUCUCCACAGAGCCUGCAAACACCGUGGGGGAGUCGGGACCCAAAAAAGGGACUUUCCCCCUCGCUCAGCGCCUGAGGAGAGAGGCACUGCCAUCUCCUCGGCACCGGGAAACGCUGCGACCGCUGGGCUUUAGGACUACAGGGGGAGCAUAACCCUACAGGAGCCUUCCCCCGGCCCCAGGGCCUGAGGGAAAGGGCAGACUGGAGGGAAGGAAACAGGGGCAAUAGGCCGGGGCUCCCCCUGCUGCGGCGCGGGCAUGGCGCCUCCAUCCCCCGCUCUCCUCAGGGACGGCGCCGCCCCGAGCGGCCGGCGAGGCGGGGAAGGAGUCGGGGCCGGGGGGGGAGAUCGGGCAGCGGGCCCGGCUACCGCGGCAACAGGCGGCCACCGCCGGCCCGGGGCCGCCUCCCGGCGGGCAGCCGCUCCCCUCAGCGGGGUGGGCGGCGAAAGGGCGACCCCCGCAGCGCUGCUCGCUCCUACCCAGCCACCCGCACCCCCCUCACUCACCCCCGGGCGCGUUUCUCCCCGAGAAAUGGCCUCCACAGCUCGGCCAGGUUUUGGUUACCUGGUGCGAGAUACGAAGCACAGCCUCAGAAGUUCGUCAGCAAUGCACGAUAUUUGAGGGAGAUGCCACACAGGACAGAUUCAGUCUCAGGCAAGUCUGAAACUACAGAAGCAGAACAGAGAACAAGCUGAAAGAAACAAAAACUCCACACAAGGGAAAAACAAAGCGAGGAAAUCUGAAGUUCCAUCUUUGCUACAGGUUGUUAUGACACACUGUGGCCAUCAAGCAUCACACAGACCUCCUCAAAAAACAGUUAUGGAAGGAAACAUGGAUCUGUCACCAAAUCUGGAAACAAACCUGGCCUUAAGUUUCCUGUUAUAGACAACCUAUCAGUCAAGCAGAAGUUGAAACACAACAUAACCUAUGAAAAAAAAAGAGAGAGAAAGGGGUGCAUGACCCAAAUAAAGUCACCUCAGGGGCUAAUCUGGGGGCUGUGAAAGCCUUUGAGCUGUGCAAGCAGAACUUGAUAAUUGAUACGGACAAUUUUAAUGUGAAUGCAUAUUACAGAAAUCACCAAAAGUCACGGCAUGGACUGCAGGACCUUUACAAAGACCGUUUUGCAGAACUUAUGAGACUGAACGACAUCCUAGUCACCAAAAACAGGGUCUGCAGUAAAACAAUGUGGAUGGGGAACAGCAAGUGGAACAAUGGGUGAGCCUCUGGCUAUGUGAGACCCUUGGGCUUUGAAAAAAAUAUUCUGCUCCCUCCCCAGUGUCACUCAAGUUCAAAGGGACAGGGUUUAUAGGUUUUCCCAUAAUCUAGGUGUCAUGAAGAGACCAAGGAGCUUUAGCUGAAGUGACCACACAGAGCUGCAUCAGCGAGAGGCCAUGUUACUGCAUCUCUUCUCUUUUAAAGUCUUAAUUCGGAUUGGACUUGGAAGUGAAAAAUACCAAAUCCAGAUGCUGAACUCUCCGCCCCAUGUAUCUCAGAAGAACGUAUUACUCCUAGGCUUGAGUUCAAUCGUAGUUCUGAAACUUGGAGUGUUAUUAGCACAAAAUUCUAAUUAAAUCCAUAUAAAACUCUUUAAACGGAUUUAAUCAUUCUUUAAACUUAAAAAAGAUAAUAAUCAUAAAACCAAGGUACAACCGUAGACUUUCUUAAUGCUAUCAAUAGUGCUGAAAUAAUUAUAAUAAUAAAAAAUAAUAAAUUGUCUUAGGACUGGCUGCAUAAAUAAAAUAAGUCUUUAAAAAUACAGUAUAAUAUAGAUAAAUUGAAUAAAAUUUCAGACAGCUAUGUCUAGUUACAAUCAUUUUGAUACUGACGAUAAACCAGAGUUGUGCUGUAUUUUAAGGAUUAAAACUCAGCAGACGAGGUGGCCGAGUGGUUAAGGCGAUGGACUGCUAAUCCAUUGUGCUCUGCACGCGUGGGUUCGAAUCCCAUCCUCGUCGGCAAACAGAAAAACCUUUCCUGAAAUAAGGUUGGAGCCAUGCUAUUUUCAGUGGUGCCCAGUGCCAGGGCAAGAGGCAAUGAGCAUAGACUGAAAUUCAGAGGUUCUGUUAAAUAUCAGGAAACGCUUUCUUUACUGUCUGGGUGGCCCAUUAGUGCUGUGGUGUCUCCUUCCUUGGAGAUCUUCAAAAACCAGCCUGCUCUAGGCUAGUUCCUGCAUGAGCAGUGGGGUUGGACCAGAUGAUUUCCAGAGGUCCCUUGCAGCCCUAACUAUUAAGUGAUUCUGUAAUUUUCUUACUUCUCCUGCUUUUAGGCAUUUCCAUGCUUUCAUUUUUUUUUUUAAAACAAUCUCCUUGCUGUCUCUAGCGUUAUUAAAUUGCAUGUCUAAUCAGUGUCAAAACAGAAAAGGUUUAUUAAUCUUGGUUGCCUUUCUCCUAGUGCUCAAGGCGGCCUAGAGCGGGGGAAAAUGAAAGUAAGCUGUGGAGCUUAAAACACUUCUACAAAAUUCUUGUUUAAUUGUUCUCAUUAAAUAUGCAAGAUCUCAUGUAUUGGCAAGAGGGACUCAGUUAUAAGAGACACAUUAAACAUCAAAAAGUGGGAGGAAAAAAUUCAGGAAAUACAACUUCAGGAAGUUAGGAAAAUUUACAUGAUAUCAAGUGUACAGUAGAUAUAUUUAACUGAAGCUCCCAACAAAAUGUGAAAAGAAAAAACCCCAUAGUGUACAAGGUCUAGGCAGUGGGCUUUAGUCCUUCGGUUCUCUAAGAGCUGGUUGCUGUAAAACUCUGAUUUGUUACACCCAUGGUGUGCUAGCACUCUUCCUCCUAAUUUGAUUCAAUAAGAUUUUAAAUUGCAUUUAUGAGCAAUUUAUGAACUUUUAUGAGCUUUCUGGAAACAUCCAAAAAGACGGUUGGCAUCUUACUGGUUAAAGACUCCAUUCAUUUCAUAAAGCCUUUGUUUUCAUUUAGUUUUAGCAUAGUCACUGGAUUCUCUUCCCUUUGAGCCGAUCAGGAAAUUCGACAUACCCAUCCAGUCUGAACAGAGAAAUGCUAACAGGGAGACACUGACAGAUGUAAAACAGGGCAACGAACCGGAUUAUUUGCUAAGAUGUAAUCACAAACUCUAAGAAAAGGCUUUGCUUUUACUUGCAAAUAAUCUGGGAUUUUAUGGGUUAGAAAAGCGAGCGCUUAGUCAUGCAGCUGGUCCCUGUGAUGUCAAAGAGUACAUCUACAUCAAAUAUCGAGGAGGAGCCUGAAGCUGUUUUCCAGACUCAGAUCACUGUCUGAACAAACAGCAAAUGAAGCCAAGUCCUCUGAGAAAGCUUUCUGCAUUUAUUUCUGGUGUUUCAGCGUUCAAGAUCUAGAACCAUAUUAUAACACUGGAUUUUGGGUGGCCAGCCCUGCUGAGCUUAGGAUAUCAGAACAGAAACUGAAGGAAAUUUGGACUCUGCUGACCAGCUGCAAAAAAUAAACUCCCAAGUUAAAUUUUUCUUAUCUUAGUGGACUAAGAUAAGGGUUUCUGUCCACUCUGGACAGAAAUUUUAAAGAGGUUCUAGUGCUAAUGAUUAAAAAAAAACCAUCUUCAGCAGUCUGAAGCAGUUUUGUUCUUCAACAGAGACAAGAACUGUUUUCUAAAGCGUAUCCCCUUCUCCCACCCCUUCAAACUCUAUAUCGUCUUGGCAGCUGUUUCCUAAAUACAACCAUUAGUCAAAAUAAAUAAUGAAAUUCCUCUUCAGUCCUACGGUACUGCUGAGUUUAUAGCAAGCUCUACCCUGGGGUAUCUUCUGUGAACAUUUUUUUUAAUGAAUUAAUGAGAAGGAAAGAACAAUUUUAAAAGCUAGUUGAGAUACUUAUUUGAACUUGUUGAUAUUUAUUUACUAUCACCUGGUAAGUUAGGAAAUCAUUCCAUUCACACAGCUGAGAGUAAUUCAGUUUACAUUUAUACUUUGCCUUGUAAUUGUAAAAGUACUGCCUCCAAAGUGUCUAGCUACAGCCUUGUCUUUGACCUCUAAGAUAUACUAUCCAUUAAAAUAUAUUUUAUCCAUUUUCCAUUACAAAGAUAUUUUGCUUUGUUUAAACUCUGAUUGUGUAAUGGGCAUUUAAACAAAGUACACUUCAUAUUUAGAUAAGUUGUGUAGACAAUGAUUGUGGGCUAAGAAGAGAUUAACUCCCCAUUUCUGAUGUAAAUGCUUGUUAAAUCCCAUUACAGAACAGGGACUCUUGUCCCCCAGCCAAUAGGAAGGACUUGUUUUUCUCUCAAAGGUAGAAAUAAAAUGGAAAUAAAAGGGUAAGGAAGCUUUCUCUGGCAAAUCAUUUAUUAACCUUGGCAUGUUAAUAUUCUCCAGAGACGUGAAAUUGCCUUCUUUGGCCAAGCCAGCCACUUCACCCUCACCUUCUAAGUUCUAUUACAAUGUCAUUGUCUGGGAUUACUGAAUAGAAAAAUGAGAAUGCAUAUUUUAAAUGCAUGUUUUACCAGUGAAUGACAGGUAUUUGUUGUCUUGCAGAUCAGUUUACUGAGGAGAUGCUGAUGAGGAAUGAAAUCAUAAUGCUGCUGCUGCUGCUGCAGAAAGGUUUCUCUGAACCCCAACGUUUCAGUUGCAGGAAAAAUACCACAUAUAAACAAGAUUUUAAAGACUUGUAAUGUCCGAGAACAAUGCUAAAUGCCAAAUGAGUUAUUUCAUCCUAGAGGAAGACUGCAGAUCUCUGUGUUUAUAACACAGCUAAUAUUCUCAUAGCAAACCUCUUGCAGUUGGAGCGAGCUGAGUUUCUUUGUUGGACUUGCUUCCACUGCCGUGGGUUUUUGCCAAGGAGGGAAUCUUUCACUUCUGUCAGCUGGGGCUACAGUGACACCUAGUAACUGUUUGGCUAAUUACAGUUCAGGUUUUCUGCGACCUGCUGCUUUUGC